GCUCCCGGGCUGGUGAACACACUGAUGCGGGGAGGCCGGUGCACCCGGGGAGGGCACGGCCGCCCCCACCCCUUCCCCGCACACCUUGCCUUAUGCCUCUCUUUCGCUGGCUGACCUGGUGGCAGCCCCCGUGAUGAAUCGGUAGCAGCGAAACUGUUUUCCUGAGUUCCGUGAGCCACUCCGGGAAAUGAAUCAAGCCCUCGGAGGGGUCUGAGGGGUGGUGGGAACCUCCAACUUACAGCAGGGAGGCUCUGACCUCCGCAUCUUCAACGGGGAGCAGAGUGUCUGCCACCCUCCCCCGUGGGCUCCCGGCAGCGCCACCACCCACCACCCUGGGCUGGGAGCUCGCGGAUCCAGGUCCCUCACGCUGCUGGUGAGAGGCAAGACUCCUCCCCACGCUCUGCCCCCACCUGCCUCAGAGGCUGUCGGGGCUCAGCCCCCCGUCUCCUCCACGUCACCCUGCACGUCCCUCGCUGCCACCCCCGGAGGCCCCGCACACGCUCCAGUCUGACCCCCCCCCCCCAAACUCUUCCUUCGCGCCCUCAGAUCUCCGUCGCCAGCAAACCCGAGUCCUCGGCCUCAUCCUGGAAACGUCCCCUGCACCUUCCCGUGCUAAAACCUGGCUCUCCCUGAAGACAUUGCUCCCCUGCAGCCCCGCCCGUAGGGGUGCUCUCUCUCCCACCCAUCAUGCCCCUGGGCCUGGAGUGAGCCCCGCUCGUCAAAACCUCCUUCCCGGGUCGGGAGGACCCACCACCCUCCUUGCACGGUUACCCAGAACCCUCCACGGCGCUGCCCCUAACUGCUUAAGGCUCGGGCUCCUGGCGCACAACCCCGGCGACCGCAAUGACCAAACAGAGGAGACCCCAGUUCCCUGACCCUGCGCCCCCUCCCCCCACGACCUUGUCCUCCUCCAGCUCAGACUAUUCCCACGGCACCUGACCUUGUCCCGUUCAGCAACCGCCAUUCCUGCAAAACCCGGACCGCAGACGCUCACCCUGACCGCUCCUCUCCCGCUCGCUUCCCGGGCGUCCCCACCCCAGCGACUCCAACCACCGGGAUCUCAGAUCACCUCCCACCCCUCCCACCGUCCUCCUCUCUCGCCAUCCUCCUUGCCUGACAAGCCCCCAGAGCGGCUCACUUCCCACCCUCUGCUCAUCCUGCACUCGGACCAGGCAGCUGACCGUGGCUGGAGAAAACGGUCAAGGGCACCGAGCGCUCGCGCUUGAAGCUCCCCUCCGCCGCCCUUGGAGGCUCCACACUCUUGUCUGCGGAGCUGACCUUCCACCCUCCCCUGUACCACUCGCCCAUCAUCGACACCACGCAGGGCAGAGGCUCUGCGGUCCAAGCCCCCGCGCCCGCAGCGCCUCCAACUGGGGGCCUGGGACCUUGUGCUGCGAGAAGUUCACUACAAAUUUCUUCCCUUGUUUUCUUGAAACAUUAAACACGCAUUUUUACUUUCACAGAAAUACAUAACGUGAACCUGACACACGGGCCCCUUCCAGUUCGGGACGCUAUCUCCCUUUUCUCUCCGGCUCCCUUCCACACCUCACGGCCCGUGGCGGCAGCAUCCGUGUGGACAAGCUGAUGCGCGGCCCUCCACGUUUCCGGGCUCGCCCACGCUCACGGAGGCAGCCCGACACACAGACGUGGAGCUAAUGACGACACUGACCUCAGGAGGGGGCUGGGGGAACGAAGCACGGGAACACGUGAGUCAAGCCCUUGGCAGUUUCUGGCAUGUGGUCAGCCCUCAACUGCCUGCUACUAUUAUUACCAUUUCUUGUCUUUCCCUCUGCACCACAGCCCCACUCAAAAGGCACACAAACUGAGGCUCAAAGAGUUGCAGAGUUCCUCAAUGUCAUACAGCUCCAAGUGGCGGGGCCUGGGUGCGAGCUGGGCCCGGGGUGGGGGGUGGGAGGUAAGCCACAGAGAUCUCCUGUUCCCACCUUACAAGGUGCCCAGCAUAUGGCAAACGCUUCAUGAAUGCUUAUCAAACAAAAGGCCUAGACAAAGACCUUAGUUUAAUACCCGUUUUUUCGCGACAACGUGAUCUAUCCCGGAACACUGUUAGUAAAAGAAAGACUCAGCCCAAACAAGGCAAGUCCACACACAACCAGAAAAUCCAAGCUGGGCCUUGCCACCCCUCCGUCUGACACACACGAGGACGGCUGCCCGGUCCGCACGCAAACUUACAG